GAUGAACGCUGGCGGCGUGCUUAACACAUGCAAGUCGAACGGUUCUAGCAAUAGGACAGUGGCGCACGGGUGAGUAACACGUAGCUAACCUGCCCUCGAGCGCGGGAUAACGUUCCGAAAGGAAUGCUAAUACCGCAUAAGCUCACGGUCUGUAGAGGAUUAGUGAGAAAAGGCGAAAGUCACUUGGAGGAGGGGGCUGCGACCCAUCAGCUAGUUGGCGAGGUAACGGCUCACCAAGGCGACGACGGGUA
rnacentral:rRNA from 1 species